rnacentral:rRNA from 1 species
UAGGGAAUCUUCCGCAAUGGGCGAAAGCCUGACGGAGCAACGCCGCGUGAGUGAUGAAGGUCUUCGGAUCGUAAAACUCUGUUAUUAGGGAAGAACAUAUGUGUAAGUAACUGUGCACAUCUUGACGGUACCUAAUCAGAAAGCCACGGCUAACUACGUGCCAGCAGCCGCGGUAAUACGUAGGUGGCAAGCGUUAUCCGGAAUUAUUGGGCGUAAAGCGCGCGUAGGCGGUUUUUUAAGUCUGAUGUGAAAGCCCACGGCUCAACCGUGGAGGGUCAUUGGAAACUGGAAAACUUGAGUGCAGAAGAGGAAAGUGGAAUUCCAUGUGUAGCGGUGAAAUGCGCAGAGAUAUGGAGGAACAUCAGUGGCGAAGGCGACUUUCUGGUCUGUAACUGACGCUGAUGUGCGAAAGCGUGGGGAUCAAACAGGAUUAGAUACCCUGGUAGUCCACGCCGUAAACGAUGAGUGCUAAGUGUUAGGGGGUUUCCGCCCCUUAGUGCUGCAGCUAACGCAUUAAGCACUCCGCCUGGGGAGUACGACCCCAAGGUUG